ensembl:lncRNA
GCCUGAGCGGGGAUUUUUUUUAUAUAUAUCAAACUGCUGCUUACGUCUCAUUGCUUUGGGCAAUGAGACAGGAAAUGUCUGUCGUUUCACACCUCUAAACCCACUUACAGCGACGUGUAAGGCAACAGUGGCAAGUUCAGAAAAAGGACGACUUCCUCUCACCUCACGCUCACUUCUGUUACUGUUUGAGUUGUCCGUUUCCUGUAAAUCAAUUUAUGAUGAAACCAGAACAUCACAAGGGAAAGACAAGUUAAAUGAUUUUACAGGGGUUUAAUGGAAUAAUCUACAUUAGUAAAGCUCAGUUUUAUCAAUUACGAUAAAAAGUCGAUUUUUUAGUUACAGAUUUCAUUGUUGUGUGAGAGAGUGCAUGGAUUAACUGAUGUGAACAUCUGCUUAUGCUUUUAGUGUAUAAGAAGCAAUUCAAGACUCCUUGAAAAUUAGCAGCAGGAAACUACUGGAUGAUUAAAAUAUCUAUGGCAGGAGGAAAAUACUAAAGUUCUCGGCGUCUCGUGUGCUUCUUCUUCUUUCUCUUCACACAAAGUCGUAGAAGUUUUCAGACGUGUCACAGCUGGAUGUGAGGAUGGGACCCACUUUCCUCUGUGAGCUGGGCCUAUUCUUUCUCUGUACGCUCCUCUGCAGCGGACACGCUCAAGAUGCUGUGCUAACUGUUAAACCCAGCUCGACCUUGUUCAUUGAAGAGACUGUUAGCUUCAAAUGUGACAUGAAGGAAGGAGAACACACUGACUGGGAAUACAAACUCAACAAGGAUGGUCGAGCCUUUAUCCAGUACAGCACAUACAAAAAUUACAGAAAACAAAUGAAGUCUCCCUCUGAUACUGGUAAAUACCAGUGCUCUGGUCAUAUGAAGAAAUCACAUUAUACAAAGAACAGUAAUACUGUCUCCCUAACUGUGCUGGGUAAACCCAGGGCCACACUGACUCCAGGAUCAACUAUAUACCAGUAGGGGGCAGUGUGACACUGACCUGCUCUGUGGGGAGCUCUGCUGGGUGGAAAUAUGAGUGGUUCAGACGUGACCAAAACACUGACGUUAAAAUCAGAACAGAUGAUCAACAAAACAGAGUAAUCAGAGUAUCUGAAGGAGGAACCUACCACUGCAGAGGAAGAAGAGGAAACCCAGUUUACUACACUGAUAAAAGUGAUGAUGUCACCAUUGAGA